GGCAUUAAAGUUCAUAUUUCACAUUCAUGUCAAGACUAAUUACAUUCAUAGUAGGGAAAAGGACGAAAGCUGACAAAGUGCAGUUUGCAAAUAUCACAGUAUGUGUCAGAGGUAAAAAAGCAUUUCCAAAGUCAUCAAAGAACUUCUAUGAAUAAGCAUUUUACAUAGUAAUUUCAGCAGAAACUAAUGCUGACUUUCCACAACCAGCUUUAAAAAAGAACUGAACUACAUAUUAUUAGUAAGGAAAUUUAUUUUGAAUCAGAUAAAUUAGCUACAAGUUUUAAUACAUUUAUUAAACAGAAUUAAGUCCCUAAUGGUUCAGUUUCGUUCAAAAUUAAAGUGACAUCAAUAUGGUAUGACAUAAUUUUCAAAGUCAGUUAAGAAAAUCCAAAUUAAAACUGUCUUAGCCCUAAGAAAAAGAAAUGCCUGUAGGUAUUCACUCUAAUCUAAACACUCAUUUUCACACAUUCCUUUCUUAUUGUUAUGUAAUUUAUUCUCUGGGCUUCUUUGAUUUAACCCAGAAAGAAUUUUAAUAAUGUAUGAAAAAUCUCAAGUCAGAUCCAAUAUUCUUUAUACAGGGCAAACUCCCAGAAACUUAAUAAAGCAAAAGGAAUAUUUGAUUUAUGAUAUUUGUGUUCCAGAGGAUAACAAAUUACCAACAACUACACCUCAGAUUAACAAAAAAAAGAUUAUUAACUAACAAAGAAAAGUACUGAGUUAAAAACAGAAGCUUUAAGUUUAUGCAGCAGUUCUGGCAAAUAUCUGUUUAUACAUUAUCAAUUAAAAGCAGGUGGGACACACCCAUUUUUCUAUUAUGAUAUGUCCUACUGAUCUUUCAUCUGAAUUUGCUCUAUGCUAUUAUGCUUGGAGGUUAAUAUAUCUUUUACUUCAAUAUCAGCUACACACUUUUUUUUGAUUGCAAUUCCUUGUAAUAAAAACGGAUUAACUUCUAUCCCUUCCUUUUAUUUACUGCUUUCUUUCAAUUACAGAACAUUAAUAGGCUCAUCCAAUACACAAAACGAUCCAACUGACCUCUUUAAGGAAGGUCCAUUUUUAUUUCUCUGACAUUAUUGCACAGCUAAAAUGCCUGUUUACAGCACUUUACGUGCGAUCAGAAUGACUUGUAAAUAAAGAAGCUGUGCUGUUGCAAGUCAAAAGGUUUGAAUGAAAACAAACCUACAAAUGUGUCUCCCAAAUGGGACUUGAGAGAACUUUCAAACUUCUAGAUAAAUUUAGAAGUUACAUUUCCUUUGUGUGUCAUAAAUAAGUAGUGAAUAGAAAAGAGAACAUCACUGCCAAACAUUGCAAAUUCAUGAUCUAGUCUAGUCUCACACUGCUUAAUCAAUAUCCUAUCAAAAAUAGUUACAUUAAAUAAUAAUUCAUAUUUUUAAAGCAAAAUUUCUUAGGUAAUUUCCUCAUGGAAUUCUUUACAACUCUAAUGUACGUCCAUUUUUAAAAACUACGGAUACUUGCAGCCCUUCAGUAAAUUCAAUAUGCAGAGAAAUAGUUUAAAAACUCCACCAUGUUCCCCUCAGGCAUCCCACAGCAGCUUCUAAACUCCCUUCACAGUUAUAAAAUUCACAUACAAUUUUGCAUUUUCUCUUUGAAGUACACUCACACAAAUAAUGACUUCUGAACUUCUCAAUGUUUCUUCUCUAAUGUAGGGAAACCAAAUUAAUUCAAUAUAUUUAUUUUGCAAAACUUCUGCUUAUAAAUAUCCCUGGAUUCUUUCACAUCACUCAGUGAAAUUGAGUGAGUGCUUUGUUGUAGCUCUAGAAUUUUCUUCAGUGAAAUUGCUUAAGGAAUUGUUUUCUAGUCUACAUUUCAUUAAUCAUGUGGUUUUGCAUAUAGAAAAUGUUUAUGUAUGUAAGUGUUACAUUUUGGUACACAAGCUCAAAAAAAUCUGUUUAAAGUAUGUCCUUGUUUUCUUAAUUAAAGUCUCUUCAUAUUUUAAUAUUUUAUGAAUAAUAUUGCGAUGGUUCUGAAAAUGAAACUUUUUUUGCAGGCAAAAUAUAAGCUUAUUUAUAUCCUCACUGUCACAGGAAAAGUCAGGAACAUAGAAUCAUAAAAUCAUAGAAUCGUUUGGGUUAAAAAGGAUCUUCAAGACCAUCUAGUUCCAACCUCUUUGUCACAGGCAGCUGACUUCCACUACAGGUUCUGAGUCCCAUCCAAUCUGGUCUUGAGCACUUCCAGGGAGGCAUCCACAGCUUCUCUGCGCAACCUGUUCCAGUGCCUCACCACUCCCACAGUGUAGAAUUCCUUCCUAAUAUCUAACCUAAACCUACUUUCUUUGAGUUUAAAGCCAUUCCCUCCUGUUAUAUGCUAGAAUACCCUCAUCAAAAGCCCCUUCCCAGCUUUCAUGUAAGCCCCCUUCUGAGCUCUCCCAGAAGGCUUCUCUUCUCCAAGCUGAAAAACCCCAACUCUCUCAGCCUGUCUUCAUAGGAGACAAUUGUAAAAUUGAAAAAUUAAAUAUUUCCUCCCAGCAAAAUACACUGCAUUCACUUUAUCACAAGGAGUGAAGCAGUACUUCAGCAAUUCAGUCACAGUAACAUCGAUAUCAUCUUUGCUGAUAUGAGAAGGAUCAAAAAAUCAUUAACACCUGUUAAAGGCCUUUUAAUCAUAUCCCUCUCUUGACAUAUCUGCAGUACCAUGUGUCAGCCCUAGAAGUUAAGCCAUGGUAUUUUUACAACCUGGCAGCUGGAAGCUUUCAGAAUUAUUUGGUACUCAGGUCUGCCUUAUCUUAAGAGCAGAAAGCUUUUUCCCUUGUUACAUUCUCUUCUUACAAAGUUCUUCAUUGCAAAACCCACAAAAACAUUGCUAAAUAAUUUGGCUGAAAAAGGUGUACUCAGAUUUUUCCCUCUUAUGUUUAUUUUUUCCAUAACAUCCUAUUUUUACUUAGACCUUCAUAAAUGCACGUUUUCUCACCCAUGAUUUCAUGCUAUUAAUAAAAGGAACCACAUAAUUUAAACCGAAACAUUUUAUUGCAUUGAAGUGCCAGCUAUUCUUACAUAUGUAAUAAUUGCAAAUUGCCUAGGCAACCUGCAUAACUAUGCAAGAUGUGAGAAGUCCUCUGGCUCUGGCAGCUUGCACAUAAUCACUUCUUUAGGCAUGAGCAGCAGAGAUCCUUGCAUCCCUGUGGUACCCUGCUUCAGCUUCAGUACACAAGGCUGGUGCUGGCCUUAGCAGCUGUGGCCCUUUAGGCUGCUCUCGCAGGCAGAGGUGGGAUAUGCAAGCUUCCCACAGAUAGGUGAGAGUGGCUCUGCCUCUGUUUCCCCCGAGGAAACCUGAGCCAGUGAUCCCAAACAGAAUGAAUAUGCCCCAGCUUCCACUCCAACAAAUAACAAUGAGCCCACCGUACGUGUCUCCUACUUCAAUGGCUUGUUCAGUAUGGGGAAAGCAUUUGGAAGUUUUCCUUUCCAGAUUAAGCCCUUCCCCAGGACCGUUCUGGGGGAAAUUGCUGGUAAGAAAACCAACAGGCUAGUUUGUUUGUAUAACCUUAAAUCAUAUAUUUCUUUCCGAAAAUUGACAUUACCAUGAUGCAAGAUUUUGCAUAUUGAUUCGUUAGUUGACAAGUUAUAUUCCUCUGAUUUUUAGCCCUAUAUGUAAGCACAAAAAAAUCAACUUGAUUUGUUUUCAUCUAAUUUUUAACAAAAUUUUAAAUUCUACUCCAAAAGUUAAUCCACCUGAUAAUCAUGUGGCUGACAAAAACAAAUAGCCACCCAAGUCAAGCUGAGUCAAGCUGAAUUAAAGGCCACACGUGUGGUCAGGUGGAGGUAGAUUUGAACAAUGGCUGAUUUACCACACCCUAGUACCAAUUUUAAGGACAAAACACCUUGGUCUUCAGUGUGGCCUUGAUUUAAAAAGUCUGUUACCUUUUUAGUUGCACAGUCAUAACCUUUUUUCAGUAGGAAUGUAGUGCAUUUGUAUAUUUAGAAUUUUUCCAGAAGAAAAAGUAGCAUCCUAAUAUUUUCAGUGUGAUAUUAAAAAAAAACAAGAGAUAAGUAUGGAAAAAACAAACUCCAGUAUAAGUAGUUAUGUUUGUCUUUAGUAUUCAUUGCCAAUAGUCAAGAAAAAUUCUACAUAAAUCAAAAUUAGCAACUUACAGUACUGAAUUAGAGAAAUCUAAGAUUAACUACUCAGUAGAACAGAGAUUAAAUUCAACUAUAUUUGAGAAAUCAUAAAUUCAUCUAGAUUCCAUAUUCUACCCAGAAAAAAAAUCAGCAAAGUUUUCAAAUCCUGAAGAAACAUUUUAGAGGUUGAAUUAUAUUGGAAAUGUUCUCACAAGUCUGUGAAUUUGUUUUCUUUUCAGCCCAUGACUUCAAAAUAUGUCAAUCAUAGUACUCUCUCAUAUUCCACUUCUUUGCCUAUUUGGAGUCCUCAUUUUGGCUUCGGUGAGGUUUUACAUUUGUCCUUGAGUAGAGUAGGAAAUUAAUAAUUAAAAUCAUGAAAGGGUUAAGAGAAACUUAACUAUUGCUUCCAUCAAACCAGUAUCUCAAGAGCACUGAUGGUGUGGAUCAUGGAUGGAAGUGCUCAAGUAAGGAGCAAGGAACAGGCAGAAAAGGUUGUAGCUAACAGUGCCAAGCCUUAGCAGAAAAAAAUCCUACGUCAAAGUAUAAAUAAAUGUUUGAGCAAGAAAUACUUGUCAGGAGAUAGGGAUUAUCAUAAUGGAUAAAAAUGAAAAAAAAAACAUUCUAGCAUAGAAGCUGAAUAAAGAUAUGAGUCAAUGUCAUUACAGUUAUAAUACUUAUAAUUCAGCAUGAAAUAUAAUUUGAAAGAUAUAAGCCUGGGGAAAAAAACAGGAUAAAUUUUUUUCCAGUGUUCUGGAUAAGUUAUUGGCAAAUGUAAAAUCUGGGUGGCAAAACAAAAACAAUAACUAGCCAUUUUGUCACUAUCUUGAGGUCACUUUUGAGGUGCCUUUAAUUUUGUUACAUCUCAGACAUCCAUAAAAACCAGCACCAAAAAAGUCAAGAAAGUUAAAAGUGUUAUGAAUUAGUUUAUUGACAUGUCAUAUACUACUUUAACAUAGUUUCAUGACUGGAGAUUCAUGAUGGUUCAGGUGAGUACAGAAAAAAAUGAAGAUCCUCAGCCCCAAUAUCUCUGUUCUGGUACUGAACCACAGGUUUGUGUUUAAGGUGUUUCUCAGCAGCUGUUUCUUACUAGCUCUUGUUUUGCUAUGUUUAGCUCUUGAGAGUUUGUUAGUCGUUCUUUGAUAAUCUUUUGGUUCCCUGAUCAGGUAAAUUUUUUAGAUCAAAUAAUCAUAGAAUAUACUGUGUUGAAAGGGACCCAACAGGAAUCAUUGAGUCCAACUCCCUGCCCUGCCCAGGACAUCCCCAAGAAUUACACCACGUGCCUGAGAGCGUUGUCCAAAUGCUUCUUGAACUCUGUUCAGUUUGGUGCUGUGACCACUUCCCUGGGGAGCCUGUUCCCAGCCACCCUCAGGGUGAAAAUUCUUUCCCAGAUAUCCAUCCUAAACCUCUGCUUACUCAGCUUCACACAAUUUCCAAGUCCUGUCACAGGUCAUGAGAGCGAAGAGAUCAAUGUAAAAGAUGGCAGAGUAGUUUCUGCAUGAGAUACUUGGAACUGCUCAUUAUAAACCUCAGCAUUUUCAAUACAGUCUCAGUACCCUUGUUCAAAAGCAUUUCCCAUUUUUAAAAAGCAUUCAUCCCUAUCCUCUUAGUGAAAGUUCAAUAAAUUCUAUAGAGCCUACAGAGAAUAUUCUUCUAAAGGAAAGAAGAAUAUUUAUAUUCAACUGAAAAUACAGGUGUUUCUGUGAUUUUCAAUAAUCUACAAUACAUCAAAACCAUGAUUUCCAUCAGCUUACCUAUAUCCACAUUUGCAUCUGCCCACUGUCAGUGAGGUAAGGAAUACAAGAUGUGUUUUAAGUCCUGCAUUCCUAAGGAAAAUUUCUCAAAAAACUGCUCAAUUUCUAAUGGCUACCUUCUAAUUCUUCCCCCAGAAUUCUCAUAUACUGGAUGAAGGGUAAGCCACAUGGGAGAGAUGAUAUCAAACUAAAAAAUGAAGGUCCACAGCAUGCCAACAGAAGACUUCAGGGUUACCCAGCAUAUUUCUCCAGACACCUCAGUGCUCAGAAAGGUCAAAGUUCACACAUAUGGCCCUUCUAAGCUGUUGCAUGCACCUGCAAUGUAUGGCAAAAAUGCCCUGCAGAGGAGCCAAAAAUUUGAACAAAAUUAUGCAGUUUUGAAGGUCUUUAAGACAAAAGAGUACGACAAAGUAAAUAACUCAUCAGCAUUUGGAAGCAUAAACAGCAGAAGGAGCCCUGAAGGAGAUGUGUCUUAUUGCAUUUUAAACAAAUAUCAAGGUAGGUAACUUGCAUGAUAAACACACUGCAAUUUGAUUUCAGUAAUUUAUUAAAUUAACAAAACCAUAUUUGUUUAUCUCAAUUACCAAAAUUGCAUAAGAUGCCAUGUUAUUUUCAAACACCAUUUCAGUCUCAAACAUGAAUUAUGGAGGUGAAUUUCAGUUGUUUUUUCAAAUGUUUUUGUACCACAAUCCAACACAGAAAUAUAUGCUCCAUAAGUUUUCUGAGCAGAAUUAAGGUUAUGUAAACACGUCAUUCAUCAUAUUUUCUCCCAUCAUAUGAUAGAUAUAUCCUUACACUCACUUCUAGUACUAACCAAAGUAAUUACUUAGAUUGCUUACAAAAGAACCAUCAGACUUUAAGUCAUCAGAUCUGUGUUCUAGGAACCCACUUACCUGCACCCUAUCACUGCAGUACCUAAGUCACACACAAUUGUCAUGUGUAGAAAGGGGCUUCAACACACUUUUUCUCUACAUGACUCUCAUAUUAGGUCCUGGUUCUGGUUACUGGUUCACACUUCUGACCAGUAACAAUAUACCCCAGGCAGAGAGUUCCUGCUCCAACCUGCUCAGACCUGUACUAAGGCAGCCUCUUCAGCCACAAUCACAGCUGUGAAAUUACUUUAGUCCUAUAGACCCUCUCUGUAAAGGCAUAUGAAGAAGCAGAUAUGUCUUCAGUGCUGCUUUUAAAACAUACCAGCACCCAACUCCUUCAUGGAGUCAGCUGCCUUAUCAUUUCCACAUUAAUCUUUCUUGAAACUACCUUGCAAAUUUUGCCCACCUGAUAUCUUUGAUCUCAAAACAAAUACCUGGGACACUUUCUGGGAGCAAACUCCAGUUUUCCAAAUGCUUAUUCAGGGUACCUGCAGGACCGUCUUUACUCUUGGAGCUGUUGAUUGAAGUUUUAUGCUGUAGGCUCUGUCAGGGAGCAUAAGCUUACCAGGUUUUUAUUCUUUUCACAGCCAGUUUCCACCACUGCAAGUUUCCCAUGGAUACUAUUUAUCUUCACUUAAAAUUGUUAAAUCAAAUUAACAAUAUGGUAUGGAACAGAUCUAGCAUCUGCGCAUUCACUUGUCCCCAACACCCUGAGGUUUGGUAUAUGAUACACUGAAACAUGAACUCUUACACCAAGCCUCAGAUCAAUCAACAUAUUGCCUACAUGAACUCUUAUUAACAAAACAGAGGGUAAGGAAAUUAAGAACUGUAAAAAAGGACAGCUCUUUUCAACUCAGAGCAGCUGCUCGCUACCUGAAAAACAAUAAUUCAAUUUGUAACAACAAAACCAAGACCACUUGAAAAUGUUCAGGGAGGUAAGGAAAAAUCUUUAAGUGUAAACUUGAAAAGCCUCCCAUGCUUGGAGAGACACUCAUCCAGCUGGUUCCCUACUUGAGUUCCUUCUCCAGCAGAGCUGUAGCACACUUUUUGCAGUGCUGUCAUGGCCCUUCUCCUGCUUUGUACCAUUUGUCCCUAGGUUUUGCGUCUAACACAGCAGCUCUGAUGCUGCCUGGGCACAGCCCAUUUUCUGAGGAACCCAGCUAAGGAUGUGCCUCAUAUUGUGCCUCAAGCCCUCAGUGUAGAUCAUCUCUACCGUGGCAUGAGCCAUUCCUGGGUCUCACAUCUAUCCAGAGGUGAGGUCUGUACAACUCAAAAGUGAGUGCCAAAAUAUUUUGUUUCGACUAGAGAUGAAGCCACUAUCUAGGACAUGAGAGAUCCACAUUACAGUCUGUGAACACCCCUUUUCAGCCAUACUAAACUCUCUCUCCUCCUCCUCUUACUCAUCCGUAGUAAGCACCCAGACUGCAGCCCUUCAGGAGGUUGGUGUUCUUGUUUUCACUAAAAAUUCACCCUGAGGAACCUUCCUUGGAAAAGUUUUAUUAAAGGAAAGCCAUUGAAGAAGAAUUUCAGUUUUGACAAAACAAUGCUUCCCAGUCAUGAGUGCAACUCUCACAGUGGCAUCCUAGGGCAUCAUUGUAUCCUAGUUACUGGAAUGUGGUGAGCUCUGUUUGCUGUUUACAAAAA
ensembl:lncRNA